UUCGGCGGAGCCGAAGGUCGCCGCUGCUGUUUAAUUCCGACGAGCAGCGGGCUCUGCUGCCUAUGUGUAUCAUCGAUUGAUCUCGCUCGCUCGCCGCCGCUGACUCGAAGCCGAGUCGAGCAGAGCAGUCAGUUGUUUCCUUGGACUCGACUGAACAGGGCGGUCAGCCAUUACUCUUCUAACAAGCUAAGUUAUCUACUUUCAUUCUUCUUCUACUUCAGUUUCUAGUUGUUAAGCGUGGGGGUUCUCAUGAUUCGCUGUUCUAAGGUGUAGAGUAUAACAAUGUAUGAAUCCUCGACUUGUUGAGAAAAGUUAUCGAUCAAGUAUGCAUAUGUGGUUCGCUAUAUCUUUCUGUAAUAUUUCUCAUCCUAUGUUUCGAAUUUCUUUUAUAUGAAGUGAGGGAAGUGAAAUGCAUAUAUGAAGAUAGUGAACUGAAAAUAGCAUGAAAUACCUUGAAUGGUUUUGUUGGUUGGUUAUUGUUUGAAUGAACUGAUUCUUGAAAAUGCUUUGGCAGAGAAUGAUGAAGAGCAGUGCAGUCUUUCCUCUUUUUGCUAGGAACGUUUGUGGAAUGGGAAUGAGGAGAUUAUGCUUGGUUGAUGUUCUGUAUGAAUGGUGAUUUUGCUUCGUUUAAAAUCCUUUGCAGCUGCUAAGGAUUUUAGGAGUGAAAUAAAAACUAAGCACGGGUGAGAAUAGAGUGGCUGAGGUGGACUUGAAGUGUUGGAUGGGUGGCUGGGCACUGUAGCGACACUGUUGAGUACUGGAGCACUGUAGCAACACUUUAGCAGCAGUUGUCAUUAAUCACCAAACGUCCCCUUUUCUUCUUUUCUCCUUUAUCUAUCUUUUCCUUAAAUUAGGGUGUUGGCAGAUGGUAGGUGUAGGAAAAUAUUAUUGGAAUGAUUGAUGUGUAUCUAUAAUAAAUCUCUCAUUGGUUCUGUAUUAGAACUUUGGUAUCGAGUUUUUCUAAUGUCGAGCACUUGUAUUCAGAUACAGAUUAAUCGAAUAAUUCUUGUAUCUGA